AACCGAAUAGUGCUCACCCCUAGUGGUGGAUAUUGGUUUGAUUUCUUCUUUCGAAGACAAGGUAAUAUAUCUUGGUUUACUAGAAAACAUAAAGAGUAAGGAUAACCUAUGCAUAAAUUAUCUUAUGAAUCAUUAAUGGUGGUGAUGUCAAUUGACAAUUUGUUUCAUAAUGAGCAUGUCAAAUCUGAAGCCUCAUCAAGGUUUCACAUCCCAUUGAUUUUCCUGGUAUAAAACCACCAGAUCUGGAAUCCCUUUUCCUUUAUGGUUGGUAAAAUUUGGAAUUGUUCUUUCAGGUAGGAGUUAUCUUUCCUUAAGAAUUUCUUUUAUGCAUGGGUUGGCAAUGCCUGGUGCUCUUUUGUUUAAUUCAGUUUCAUAAAAAAAAA
rnacentral:misc_RNA from 1 species